rnacentral:rRNA from 1 species
UGUGGAAUAUUGGGCAAUGCCCGAAAGGGUGACCCAGCAACGCCGCGUGGAGGAUGAAGGUCGUAAGAUUGUAAACUCCUGUUAGAGGGGAAGAAUAACUAAGUUUGGAGCUUAGUAUGACUGUACCCUCAGAGAAAGCCCCGGCUAACUACGUGCCAGCAGCCGCGGUAAUACGUAGGGGGCAAGCGUUGUCCGGAUUUACUGGGUGUAAAGGGCGCGCAGGCGGAAUGGAAAGUCAGUGGUGAAAUCCUACAGCUUAACUGUAGAACUGCCUUUGAUACUUUCAUUCUUGAGUUCGGGAGAGAGAGACGGAAUUCCAGGUGUAGUGGUGAAAUACGUAGAUAUCUGGAAGAACACCAGUUGCGAAGGCGGUCUCUUGGUCCGAUACUGACACUGAGGCGCGAAAGCGUGGGGAGCAAACA